ensembl:lncRNA
CGUGUGCGCGCGCUCGGGUGCCAGAUCAGGUGCGCCGAGGUGAGGCGGCGCGCAGCGCUCGGCUGUUUCCGUCGCGUCCCGUCGGUGAGCCUCGGUGAGCCUCGGUGGAUGGGGGAAUGCGGUGGCCGCUGGCAGCGGGCAUAGCUGGACACUCGGCGGAGAUGUGCGCACGGAAACAGGAGCCCUCGGCGGAGAGCCCGGAAUGAGGGAGCAGCCAGGGAGGAUUCCCCACGCAUUGCAGGCAGCUGUGAAAGGGGAUGGUGAAACGAAAAGCCUCUGACCCUCAGCAGCACCCUUCUGCCUGCUGCCCCACAUCGUAGCGACGAUAACCAUCGAGGUAAUGGCCAAAUACACCAACGCACGGUUUUAGUUAUUUGUCACCA